GCCUGGGGUGGCAGUGGGCGCUGGAAGGGCGCAGGGGUGAGAGAGACCCAGGAGGCAACAUACCAGGAAUGGCUGUAAACUCUCCUUCCUCCGAAAUAUGGAGUUGUUUUCCAGCCAGAAUUUCACUGAAGAACAUGCAAGCAUCCCAACCCACACAUCUGAUGAAGCCAAAGCCACCUCAUCAUCCCCUUGUGCCUGCUGUGAGCCUGGAGCUGCUGCUUCUGUAGCCUGUCAGCCUCACGGUCCUGUUGGAGGUGAAUGUGGAUGGAUAAAGCCUGGCACUGAAGCAGCAUGUACCAGCCUUGCAGCUGUUGGGCUGAAAGGAUCCAGAUGAAGACUGAAAAGCAUCCUCCCUCAUCCUGGAAUGUUGUGCACCAAACACAGGAGGAGAAAGGACAAGCUGAGGGAAUCCAGGAGUCAUCACUCCUGUGUGCAGGCUGCCUGGAUUCAGCUGUAGCUUUAAGCCUCUAGGAAGAAGAGGCUGUAAAGAGUUUAAUCAUAAGUGUCUCCUAAUUCAGGAACCAGGCUGAAGUAGGUUAAUCCAUCAAGGCACUAAAAUCAAAAGGCAGGAUGGAAAACUGUUGGCUUUUGGCUGUCACAGCAGCUCCACUUCAAGGUGGUGACAUCAGUGAGUGCAUCAGGGGGACAGGACAGCUGAGAUGGAAACAGUCUGGAUCCCUGGAGCUGAACUGAAGCUCACCAAAGCAUCCCUGGAUGAGCUAAACUGCUGCUUUCUUAAGCCAGAAAUGAGCUGCUUUGUAGUUGAGAGAGGCUGGGUGGAGGAUUGGCUGAUCUUGAAGGUCUCUUGCAACCAAAGCUGCUCUGUGAUAACACUUGAAGAAAGGUGAG